rnacentral:hammerhead_ribozyme from 1 species
AAGCGAAACGCCCCGUCCUGGGGCGUCGUCGUGGCGUGGCGGCCACGGCCUGACGAGCAGCCAAA